rnacentral:misc_RNA from 1 species
GAAACUUUGAGAGUGAUGCUCCUAAAAGUUCAUAGUUAUCAAAAGUGUGCCUAGGCUCCAGAUUCAUGUAAGCGUUAGGCCAAGUGCCUUGGGUGGGCUUAGGCCAGGUGCCAUUUGUAAUGUUUGAGCCUAGGCAUUCAGUUAGGCACCUUAUAUGAGUUCAUUUUAUAACAUUGGUAAAAGCUGAAUAUCUCAACAAGGCAUGUUGCCCUGCCUAUCUCCAUCCUAGCGGCUUGCAUGCGUGCUCCUAGGUUUAGGGCUUCUCUCUUAGAGAUUAUACAUGAUGAUAUGACUAUAUCUAAAAGACAUAUGGAAAUGGAGGUGUUAAGGGAAUAAGUUCCAAUUAAGGGGGAGAAGAAGAAUUUAUCUGCAGUCGAUGAUGAUGAGGGACAGGUUACCAUUGAUUUUUCUAGGAAUAGCUUGCAGGGUAGAGUUUGUGGUUGGAUAUUAUGAUAUUUUUCGAUUAUCAGUGCAUGGUGUUUUCUAUUUUCUUACAUUCUAAUGUGAAAAUGACUUAUGUUGUACAAGUUUUAAUGAUUAUCGUUGUAGUUUUGGAUGCUAUUGCACUCAAUUAUUAAGACAUACGAACUGAGACAUUAUAUAUUUAUAUACUAGGAUUCCACUGACAUCAAUAAAUGUGUGCUUGGCAUUCCUCAAGACGUGUGCCUGCAGCUUGCUCCUAGGCCCCAAGAACCCUGUGUGCUCUAGUGCAUUUAUGCCUUUGAUACCAUGUCAAAGUUACAUCAUAAGCAUCCUCUUACUUUAAAAAUGCCUGCACUGUUUGAGCAUUUGACAACUAUUUCAUUCAUUAUGAUUAAGAUAGGUAUUGCUGCUUGUGGGUGAAUAAUAAUUUUCAAACUCGGACCAGAUUGGCUGGUCGGACCGGUUUAACCAGGACUGGACCUUGGUCCGGUUGGGUUUGAUCUACAGCGGCACUUUGCGAAUUCUCAUACAACACAAUAUAUAUAUAUUAUUAUCUUUUAUACAUUAAAAGUAUAUUGUAUUAUGUAAUUUAAUAUAUCAACAUUUAUUUUUCAUUGGUAUGAAUGAAUUUAUUAUUAUAAAAAAUUUUAUUCUUCAAUAUUUCUUUAUGAUAGA